GGGCAUACCCGUAGACCUUGCCUGACUGUGCUCAUGGCCAGGCAGGGGGGACAGUGUAUGCAAAAGUAAUUUGGUGUUUGUGCCAGUUUUAGCCAGCCUAUUCUAUUCAGUGGUUGGAUUGGUUGCAUUACUUCAACAUUU
ensembl:snoRNA small nucleolar RNA SNORA58